rnacentral:rRNA from 1 species
AUUGAACGCUGGCGGAAUGCUUUACACAUGCAAGUCGAACGGCAGCACGGGUGCUUGUACCUGGUGGCGAGUGGCGAACGGGUGAGUAAUACAUCGGAACGUACCCAGUCGUGGGGAUAACGUAGCGAAAGUUACGCUAAUACCGCAUACGUCCUGAGGGAGAAAGCGGGGGACCGUAAGGCCUCGCGCGAUUGGAGCGGCCGAUGGCGGAUUAGCUAGUUGGGGGGGUAAAGGCGUACCAAGGCGACGAUCCGUAGCGGGUCUGAGAGGAGGGCCCGCCACACUGGAACCGAGACACGGUCCAGACUCCUACGGGAGGCAGCAGUGGGGAAUUUUGGACAAUGGGCGAUAGCCUGAUCCAGCCAUUCCGCGUGAGUGACGAAGGCCUUCGGGUUGUAAAGCUCUUUCGGCAGGGAAGAAACGGCUUGGGAUAAUACCCCGAGCUAAUGACGGUACCUGAAGAAGAAGCACCGGCUAACUACGUGCCAGCCGCCGCCGUAA